AGAGUUUGAUCAUGGCUCAGGAUGAACGCUAGCGGCAGGCUUAAUACAUGCAAGUCGUGGGGCAGCGCAGUGUAGCAAUACAUGGGCGGCGACCGGCAAACGGGUGCGGAACACGUACGCAACCUUCCUUUAAGCGGGGAAUAGCCCAGGGAAACUUGGAUUAAUACCCCAUAAGAUUAUGGUGUGGCAUCACACAGUAAUUAAAGCUACGGCACUUAAAGAUGGGCGUGCGGCUGAUUAGGUAGUUGGCGGAGUAACAGCCCACCAAGCCGACGAUCAGUAACUGGUGUGAGAGCACGACCAGUCACACGGGCACUGAGACACGGGCCCGACUCCUACGGGAGGCAGCAGUAAGGAAUAUUGGUCAAUGGACGCAAGUCUGAACCAGCCAUGCCGCGUGGAGGAUGAAGGCCCUCUGGGUUGUAAACUUCUUUUAUCUGGGAAGAAACCACUCUUUUCUAAGGGUGUUGACGGUACCAGUUGAAUAAGCACCGGCUAACUCCGUGCCAGCAGCCGCGGUAAUACGGAGGGUGCAAGCGUUAUCCGGAUUCACUGGGUUUAAAAGGGUGCGUAGGUGGGCAGGUAAGUCAGUGGUGAAAUCUCCGGGCUUAACCCGGAAACUGCCGUUGAUACUAUCUGUCUUGAAUGUAGUGGAGGUGAGCGGAAUAUCAUGUAGCGGUGAAAUGCUUAGAUAUGACAUAGAACACCCAUUGCGAAGGCAGCUCGCUACACUAUUAUUGACACUGAGGCACGAAAGCGUGGGGAUCAAACAGGAUUAGAUACCCCAGUAGUCC
rnacentral:rRNA from 1 species